ACACGACUCUCGGCAACGGAUAUCUCGGCUCUCGCAUCGAUGAAGAACGUAGCGAAAUGCGAUACCUGGUGUGAAUUGCAGAAUCCCGCGAACCAUCGAGUCUUUGAACGCAAGUUGCGCCYGAGGCCAUUCGGUYGAGGGCACGCCUGCCUGGGCGUCACGC
rnacentral:rRNA from 2 species